CCUACGGGUGGCAGCAGUGAGGAAUAUUGGUCAAUGGGCGCGAGCCUGAACCAGCCAAGUAGCGUGAAGGAUGACUGCCCUACGGGUUGUAAACUUCGUUUAUAAAGGAAUAAAGUGAGGCACGUGUGACUUUUUGUAUGUACUGUAUGAAUAAGGAUCGGCUAACCACGUGCCAGCAGCCGCGGUAAUACGGAGGAUCCGAGCGUUAGACGGAUUUAUUGGGUUUAAAGGGAGCGUAGAUGGGUUGUUAAGUCAGUUGUGAAAGUUUGCGGCUCAACCGUAAAAUUGCAAUUGAUACUGGCAGCCUUGAGUACAGUUGAGGUAGGCUGAAUUCGUGGUGUAGCGGU
rnacentral:rRNA from 1 species